UUCUAUGGAUAAGCAAAGAAAGUGAUUUCUUGACAUGGAAUCUACUCCUAGUGAAGAUGCUAUAAA
rnacentral:pre_miRNA from 1 species